UACGGAGGGUGCAAGCGUUAUCCGGAUUCACUGGGUUUAAAGGGUGCGUAGGUGGGUUGGUAAGUCAGUGGUGAAAUCUCCAGGCUUAACUUGGAAACUGCCAUUGAUACCAUCAAUCUUGAAUACCGUGGAGGUCAGCGGAAUAUGUCAUGUAGCGGUGAAAUGCUUAGAUAUGACAUAGAACACCAAUUGCGAAGGCAGCUGGCUACACGAAUAUUGACACUGAUGCACGAAAGCGUGGGGAUCAAACAGG
rnacentral:rRNA from 1 species